rnacentral:rRNA from 1 species
AAGUCGUAACAAGGUUUCCGUAGAUGAACCUGCGGAAGGAUCAUUAUUGAAUAAACUUGAACAGGCUGUUGCUGGUCUUUUUUGGCAUGUGCACGCCUGUCAUCUUUAUUUUCUCCAACUGUGCACAUAUUGUAGACCUGGAGUCGUCUUAUUUUGAUUCAAUCGAGUUGGCACUGCAGUGCUCACAAAAGUCUGCUUUGCCUUUUGCCUUUCCAGGUCUAUGUCACAACCUCAAAUGUGUUUAGAAUGUUGAAUCAACCUAUAAAGUUAAAUAUACAACUUUCAGCAACGGAUCUCUUGGCUCUCGCAUCGAUGAAGAACGCAGCGAAAUGCGAUAAGUAAUGUGAAUUGCAGAAUUCAGUGAACCAUCGAAUCUUUGAACGCAUCUUGCGCUCCUUGGUAUUCUGAGGAGCAUGCCUGUUUGAGUGUCAUUUCAAGUUCUCAACUGCAUCGACUUCUUGUUGGUGUGGCUUGGAUGUGGGGGAAUUUUUUGCAGGCUUUCCUGUCAAAGGAGGUCGGCUCCCCUGAAAUAUAUUAGCAGUAUCUGAGCAGAAGAAACUACUACAGGCGUGAUAAUUAUCUAUGUCUUUGGUAUUGCUGCAUGAACAGAUGACACUGCUUCUAACAAGAGUGAGUUGGCUCACAUUUUGAUGAAUUUGACCUCAAAUCAGGUAGGACUACCCGCUGAACUUAAGCAUAUCAAUAAGCGGAGGAAAAGAAACUAACAAGGAUUCCCCUAGUAACUGCGAGUGAAGCGGGAAAAGCUCAAAUUUGAAAUCUGGCAGUUCUUUACUGUCCGAGUGUAAUCUAAAGAAGUGUUACCUGUGCAGAACCGUGUACAAGUCUCCUGGAAUGGAGCAUCAUAGAGGGUGAGAAUCCCGUCUUUGACAUGGACUACCUGUAUAUUAUGGUGCGCUCUCAAAGAGUCGAGUUGUUUGGGAAUGCAGCUCAAAAUGGGUGGUAAAUGCCAUCUAAAGCUAAAUAUUGGCGAGAGACCGAUAGCGAACAAGUACCGUGAGGGAAAGAUGAAAAGAACUUUGGAAAGAGAGUUAAACAGUACGUGAAAUUGCUGAAAGGGAAACGCUUGAAGUCAGUCACGUUGGCUAGAAAUCAGCCCUGCUCUUGCUUGGUGUACUUUCUGGUUGACGGGUCAGCAUCAGUUUUGACCAUUGGAUAAAGUCUCUGGGAAUGUGGCAUCUUUGGAUGUGUUAUAGCCCAGGGUCGCAUGCAGUGGUUGGGAUUGAGGAACUCAGCACGCCGCAAGGCCGGGUUUCGACCACGUUCGUGCUUAGGAUGCUGGCAUAAUGGCUUUAAUCGAC